rnacentral:lncRNA from 1 species
GGAACUUGCAUUCUAGUAGGCUAAUAAACACGCAAAUGAACAAUAUACUUUCAAAUCGGGGUAGUGCAGCGAAGACAAUGCACCAGGGAGCUGUGAGGCGGCACCGUGACCAGCCCUGUGUGGGAAUGUCCUAAGUGCUGCCGAGGAGGCGGGACCAGUUAUCCUGGUGGUGGAGUGAGGGGAGUGAAAGUGCUGGCUCACAUGGUGAUUCCACAUUUGGCUUUUUGAGGAACUGUCAAACUGUUUUCCAUGAUGGCUGCACUAUUUGACAUUCUCACCAGCAACGUCUGAGGGUGGAAACCUUGAUUCUUAAAACCAAACAGGUGUCAGCUGCUUGCCAGGAAAUGGGCAGACUCUGGUGAACUGAUGAUACCGCUAUUUGGACAACUGUGAUCAGGCCAUCUAUGUGUACCAGAUUCAUUGUCCACAGGAAGAUUGGGUGGCCCAGGCCAGAGCUCAGGGCUGGCGUCUCCCUUCCCCCAGGAAGAGUGCUCCAAGACCACCCAAGUAACAGAAACAGCCUGCUUUACUUGUUUAAUUUCUAGAGAGAUGUUCUCUAUGGAAAAUGUUCCUCCUGCUGCAUAUAAGAAGCAGAACACAGAACAUUAUGGUCUCUUCUGUAAAUCCACCUAGUGCCAAGUGUGUGUAGAGGAGGAAACUGAACUCAGAGGGGUUAAGUAACUAGCCCUGAGGUCACACAGCUAGGAAGAGGAAGAAUCAAGAUUACAGUCCUGUACCAUCCUCUAAAUGACAUUCGAGGACCCCCUCCUGCUCCAGGAGACUGGGACUUUCUGAAGCCUUCCAUUGGGGUGUAAUUAGUUGUUUUCUAGUUGUUUCCUGUGCUGGAGGUUGUCUUCUCACCUAGACUUGGUCUCUUUAAGGCCUGGCUGUAUUUUAUCCUUUUCUUCUAUGGAGACCCUCAAUCCUACACAUUUGAAUA